GAAAUGCGAUACGUAAUGCGAAUUGCAGAAUCCAGUGAGUCAUCGAACCUUUGAACGCAUCUUGCGCUUCCGGGUAACUGGGAGCAUGUCUGCUGGAGUGCCUGUUCUCAACCACAACUUAAAAACUUGAGUGUUUUAAGUGGGUCGGUUCUGUGUUUUCCCCUUUGUUGGGAAGAUACAGGACCUUGAGAUGAAAGGCACAACCCAAACAGCGCUUUUUUGCUUCUUUGAAAAGCCUGAGUUGUGAGUGUCGUGAGUGUUUCUUUAAGUUUACACCCUCCUCACUCAAUUCAAAAAGCAACUCUUUCUUUCUCAAAAGCCAAAAUAAUACGGCCUGUUUGCUUGAUUUUUUUGAAUCGGGCCUCCAGUCAGGCAAGAAGACCCGCUGAAUUUAA
rnacentral:misc_RNA from 1 species